rnacentral:misc_RNA from 1 species
GCUCCGUAGGUGAACCUGCGGAGGGAUCAUUACAGAGUUCAUGCCCUACCGGGUAGAUCUCCCACCCUAUGUUAUUAUUACUUUGUUGCUUUGGCGGGCCGUUAGGCUCCGGCCCGACUACCGGCCCCGGCUGGUAAGCGCCCGCCAGAGGACCCAAAACCCUGAAUAUUAGUGUCGUCUGAGUACUAUAUAAUAGUUAAAACUUUCAACAACGGAUCUCUUGGUUCUGGCAUCGAUGAAGAACGCAAC